UCCUCCCUCUUUCUUCGUGCUUAACACAUGCAAGUCGAACGGAAAGGCCCUGCUUUUGUGGGGUGCUCGAGUGGCGAACGGGUGAGUAACACGUGAGUAACCUGCCCUUGACUUUGGGAUAACUUCAGGAAACUGGGGCUAAUACCGGAUAGGAGCUCCUGCUGCAUGGUGGGGGUUGGAAAGUUUCGGCGGUUGGGGAUGGACUCGCGGCUUACCAGCUUGUUGGUGGGGUAGUGGCUUACCAAGGCUUUGACGGGUAGCCGGCCUGAGAGGGUGACCGGCCACAUUGGGACUGAGAUACGGCCCAGACUCCUACGGGAGGCAGCAGUGGGGAAUAUUGCACAAUGGGCGGAAGCCUGAUGCAGCAACGCCGCGUGCGGGAUGACGGCCUUCGGGUUGUAAACCGCUUUCGCCUGUGACGAAGCGUGAGUGACGGUAAUGGGUAAAGAAGCACCGGCUAACUACGUG
rnacentral:rRNA from 1 species